UAAUACGGGGGGUGCGAGCGUUAUUCGGAAUCAUUGGGCGUAAAGGGCGCGCAGCCGGUUUUGUAAGUCAGAUGUGAAAUCCCGGGGCUUAACCCCGGAAGUGCAUAUGAAACUAUGAGACUUGAGUAUGGGAGAGGGAAGCGGAAUUCCUGGUGUAACGGUGAAAUGCGUAGAUAUCAGGAGGAACACCGGUGGCGAAGGCGGCUUCCUGGACCAAUACUGACGCUGAGGCGCGAAGGCGUGGGGAGCGAACAGGAUUAGAUACCCUGGUAGUCCACGCAGUAAACGUUGAUCACUAGGUGUAGCGGGUAUUGACCCCUGCUGUGCCGGAGUUAACGCAUUAAGUGAUCCGCCUGGGGAGUACGAUCGCAAGGAUUAAAACUCAAAGGAAUUGACGGNGGGCCCGCACANNAGCGGUGGNNAGCAUGUGGGUUUAAUUCGAACGCAAACGCGAAGGAACCGUUACCNUGGACUUGACAUCUCGGGAAUUCCGUUGAAAGACGGGAGUGCCUUUAACGAGGAAUCCGAUGACAGGUGCUGCGUGGCUGUCGUCAGCUCGUGUCGUGAGAUGUUGGGUUAAGUCCCGCAACGAGCGCAACCCCUAUCUUCAGUUACCAUCAGGUGAUGCUGGGGACUUUGGAGAUACUGCCCCGGUUAACGGGGAGGAAGGUGGGGAUGACGUCAAGUCCUCAUGGCCUUUAUGUCCAGGGCUACACACGUGCUACAAUGGUAUGUACAAAGGGAAGCGAUCCCGCGAGGAGGAGCUAAUCCCAAAAAGCAUAUCAAAGUUCGGAUCGGAGUCUGCAACUCGACUCCGUGAAGUUGGAAUCGCUAGUAAUCGCGGAUCAGCAUGCCGCGGUGAUACGUUCCCGGGCCUUGUACACACCGCCCGUCACACCAUGAGAGUUGGCUGUACCAGAAGUCGUUGGGCUAACCCGCAAGGGGGGUAGGCGCCUAAGGUAUGGUUGAUGAUUGGGGUGAA
rnacentral:rRNA from 1 species